UCUUCCCCAAUGCACGAAAGUGUGACGGGGCAAUGCCGCGUGUGGGAUGAAGCCCUUCGGGGUGUAAACUACUGUCAGGGACUACCAACAACAUGAGGAGUCCCAAAGGAAGAGCCGGCUAACUCUGUGCCAGCAGCCGCGGUAAUACAGAGGGCUCGAGCGUUAAUCGGAAUCACUGGGCUUAAAGCGUGCGUAGGCGGAUUUGAAGGCGCUUUGUGAAAUCCCUCGGCUCAACCGAGGAACUGCUUGGCGAACCACAAAUCUUGAGGCUGGUAGAGGUGGUCGGAACAAUAGGUGGAGCGGUGAAAUGCGUAGAUAUCUAUUGGAACACCGAAGGGAAGACAGGCCACUGGGCCACUCCUGACGCGAGGCACGAAA
rnacentral:rRNA from 1 species